rnacentral:rRNA from 1 species
GAUGAACGCUGGCGGCAUGCCUAAUGCAUGCAAGUCGAGCGAACAGAUGAGGAGCUUGCUCCUCUGACGUUAGCGGCGGACGGGUGAGUAACACGUGGAUAACCUACCUAUAAGACUGGGAUAACUUCGGGAAACCGGAGCUAAUACCGGAUAAUAUAUUGAACCGCAUGGUUCAAUAGUGAAAGACGGUUUUGCUGUCACUUAUAGAUGGAUCCGCGCUGCAUUAGCUAGUUGGUAAGGUAACGGCUUACCAAGGCAACGAUGCGUAGCCGACCUGAGAGGGUGAUCGGACACACUGGAACUGAGACACGGUCCAGACUCCUACGGGAGGCAGCAGUAGGGAAUCUUCCGCAAUGGGCGAAAGCCUGACGGAGCAACGCCGCGUGAGUGAUGAAGGUCUUCGGAUCGUAAAACUCUGUUAUUAGGGAAGAACAAAUGUGUAAGUAACUAUGCACGUCUUGACGGUACCUAAUCAGAAAGCCACGGCUAACUACGUG